rnacentral:lncRNA from 1 species
CUCAACCUUAAACUGAUCUCUCUUCACCUGGUUUAGUUUUACUCACAGGUUCGGUUUCCCCUUUCAGACUAGGCAUCUCACCCUUGUUAAAUGUGACAUCUUUACUCACGAUGAUCUUAACUCCAUUUUGGCUUCUAUCCUAUAACCUAUAACACUUAACACCCUUGGGAUAUUCUAGAAAGACGUACUUUCUAGCUCUAGGUUCAAGCUUUCCCUCACUCUGAUGAGAAAAUGCAGCACAGCAAAAAGUUCUAAGUAUAGAGUAAUCACUCAAUUUACCAGACCACCUCUCAUGCGGAGUACCAUUUAAUGCAGCAGAUGGAGUCAAAUUAAUCAAAUAACAAGUAGUUAUAACAGUUUUACCCUAAAACGAUUUAGGGACACCAGAACUUAACAUCAUGCAACGUACUUUAUCAAGUAUGGUCUUAUUCAUCCUUUCCGCUGCACUGUUUUGUUGGGGAGUGUAAGGAACUGUCUUAUGUUUUGUUAUGCAGUUUUCUUUACACAUACAAUCAAAUUCAGUGUUGCAAAAUUCUGGGCCAUUAAAUUUGAUCCUUUUGCCAGUUUGAUUUUCUAUUUGUCUCUUCCAG